AAGUCGUAACAAGGUUUCCGUAGGUGAACCUGCGGAAGGGUCAUUAACACGUAUCCAACGUUAAACCCCCUGUGAACCUUCAUUGUACGAGUUACAUCCACGUCAUAAACCGGCAGCCGAACAGUUUUGAUUCAGAGACCUCUGGGAAGGGUGUACGGUAGUGCGAGGCAAUUGACCUGCAUUCCUCUGCUUGUUAGUGUCUGAAAGUGUCACUAGCUAUGUACGGAUGGCGCAGUAACGAUCGCUGGAGGCCGACACGGCCGGCGACCAGGUCCAGUGACCACGGCCACAACCUUUGCAUGAAAACGGGCGCGGCCACCCCUAAUGCUUGAACAACUGUUAACAAUGGAUAUCUUGGUUCUC
rnacentral:misc_RNA from 1 species